CGUCAUCGCUCCUGUCGUCUUGGUCGUAAAAGUAUUCUGAAAAAUGAAUUGUAGUUUUUAUUGUAGCUCCUUCACCAUCAUGAUGGAUGGGGCGGGGUUCAGUCUGAAAGUGCGUGUUGGUCUACCUGCAUCAUCAGGUACAUCAGCACUCUGAGCUCGUCUGACGGCUGGAUUGCCCGCGUGGGCGGUGUAUCGAUACAGCUGGUUUUCUCCUCUGCCGUCUUGCUGGUUGAUCUGUGUGAGG